UACCAGCACCCCGAGUGGUCGGGACGUUUAUUGGGCCUAAAGCAUCCGUAGCCGGUUCUACAAGUCUUCCGUUAAAUCCACCUGCUUAACAGAUGGGCUGCGGAAGAUACUAUAGAGCUAGGAGGCGGGAGAGGCAAGCGGUACUCGAUGGGUAGGGGUAAAAUCCGUUGAUCCAUUGAAGACCACCAGUGGCGAAGGCGGCUUGCCAGAACGCGCUCGACGGUGAGGGAUGAAAGCUGGGGGAGCGAACAGG
rnacentral:rRNA from 1 species